CCCUGACCCUAUAAAAGCCCCCCCAAAAACCCCUUCUUUGGGGUUAUAGGGCCGCCAUCCCGACCCUAUUUCCACCUUUAGGGCUGUGCCGUAACGGCGGGGUGUACAUUAAUGGGUUCUGCCACUGCACCCCAUUAUUUUAUGGGGUCGAGUGUGAGUACGCCAAAGAGAGCGUGGAGAUCACCAACGCGACGAUGUCGGCCACGGUGACGAUGAGCGCUCAGGUGCUCAAUAGGGCCUUCAGCCCCGCGCUGGAAAACCCCAAAUCCCCCGAAUUCACCCAAUUCCAACUGGAGUUCCAGGAGAAGAUGAAGAAGCUGUAUGGGAACGUGGAGGGCUACGAGGGAGUGGAGAUCCUUUCCUUGAGAGAGGGCAGCGUCGUGGUGACGUACGAUGUGCUCCUUCGGGUCGCGGCGGGGACUGACGCCCCCACCGUCGUGGAGGACCUCGUGGAGGACCUCCUGGCGGCCACCGUCGCCAAUUGCAGCCAAUGCAGCGCGGUCACGUGUGAGUGGGGGGUCACGUGAGUGGGGGGCGGAAGUCACGUGCCAGCGGGGGUGGUCGCGUGAAGGGGCGGAAGUCACGUGAGGGGUCACGUGAGGGGGCGCAGCCAUAGAGGGUCCCCAUUGGGGUCCUAUAAACGCUUAUGGGGUUGUGCGGUUCCUAUAUGGGAUUUGGGGUUGUGGGACCCCCAUAAGGCCCCCAUUGGGGUCCCCCAUCAGUUAUGGGGCUUGGGGGAUCCUAUAUGGGGUGGAGGACCCCCAUAAGGUCCCCACUGAGGUCCUAUAAACGCUUAUGGGGUUGGGGGGUUCCUAUAUGGGAUUUGGGGUUGUGGGACCCCCAUAAGGUCCCCACUGGGGCCCUAUAAACGCUUUUGGGGUUUGGGGGAUCCUAUGUGGGGUUUGGGGUCCCACAUCCCCCACUACUGCUCCAUAUCCCUCAUUAUGGCCCCAUAACCCCCUAUAAUGACCCCACAACCCCCUAUAAUGGCCCUAUAUCCCCCAUUGCCACCCCAUAAUCCUCUAUAACGGCCCCAUAAUCCUCUAUAACGACCCCAUAUCCCCUAUAACGGCCCCAUAAUCUCCUAUAGUGACCCCAUAUCCCCUAUAACGGCCCCAUAUCCCCUAUAGUGACCCCAUAUCCCCUAUAACGGCCCUAUAGGUGACAUAUGUUUCAACACGUCCCACACCUCUGUAACCAACUACACCGUUCAGCCCCUGGAUGCAGCGCUCUGCCAGCCGCUGAUCCCGCCGUCGCUCAUUGGCUACUACAGCGCAAUCCCCGCCCCUUCCGGCGCGCUGUGCGUCAGCCGCUGCCACCCGCUGUCCGACCGGCCGUUCCCGUGCGUGCACGGAGCAUGCGCAGUGAGCGGCGAUGGACCGCGCUGCCAGUGAGGCCUUAAAGGGGCAGCGGCCCGAAAUUCGGGCUCUAUGGGGGCUCUAUGGGGGCUCUAUGGGGUCUCUAUGGGUCCCUAUGUGGUCUCUUUGUAUGGGAUCUCUAUGGGGUCUCUUUCUAUGGGGUCUCCUUGGGGUCCCUCUGGGUCCCUCUGGGGUCUCUUUCUAUGGGAUCUCUAUGGGGUCCCUAUGGGGUCUCUUUCUAUGGGGUCUCUUUGGGGUCCCUCUGGGUCCCUAUGGGGUCUCUUUCUAUGGGAUCUCUAUGGGGUCCCUAUGGGGUCUCUAUGGGGUCCCUCUGGGUCCCUAUGGGGUCUCUUUCUAUGAGAUCUCUAUGGGAUCUCUAUGGGGUCCCUGUGGGUCGCUAUGGGGUCUCUUUCUAUGGGAUCUCUAUGGGGUCUCUAUGGGGUCCCUCUGGGUCCCUAUGGGGUCUCUUUCUAUGGGAUCUCUAUGGGGUCCCUAUGGGUCCCUACGGGGUCUCUUUGGGCUCUCUAUGGGGUACC
ensembl:lncRNA